UACAUCUCUGACAGCGGCUCUCUACCAAACGUGAGUUUUAUUCGCCACGCACGGUCCUACAGCUCAUGGUGGGAGGGGUGGGGGGGGGGACAGCGACAAACAGGGGGGGGAGGGGAGGGGGGGCACAAAGGGAUGGGGUGGGGGGGGGGAGGAACACCAGAAUCUGCUUUGUUCUCCUCGAACCAUUAUUAAAAAUGAGCUUGGUCCUAAAAAUAUAGAAAGAAAUCAAUUUAAAUCCACAAAAACCUGUACAGUUAUCAAAAAGUCCACUGCAACGAACACGGCUGGCCUAGAAAAGGGGGGGGGGGGGGGUGAUGAUAAAGGUGUGGGGGGGGGGUUCAAAGUGAGGGGGGGGGGUCGAUGGUGGGGGGGAGAGGGGGGGGCUGAACUCCAAUGGACACGAAACGCUGCGGAGGAUCCCAAAAACAACGGGGGGGGGGAAAAGGAGGAAAAGAAAUCCCGACAGCUCCGAACAAAGCACAGAUUGGGGGGGGGGGGGGGGGGGGGGUCUUAAAGGGAAGGGGGGGGGGGGGGGGGGGGGGGGGCGCCGUCCUUAGCUAAAAUAUAAAUAUCUGCGUCGUACAAAGGCAGCUCCAGCAGCUCCGAUCCCACCUCGUUUUGUUUUUUUUUUGUUUUUUUUCUCUUUUUUUCUUUUUUUUUUUUUUAUAUCUCAAAGCAAAACGAGAAAAAUAAAACUUAAAAAGUUUCUGAGGUUUUCGUUUCUUUUUUUUUUUUUUUUUUUUUUUUUUUUUUUUUUUAAUAUCCGAUAGAAAAAAAGGCUACUUUGAGACGGGGGGGGGGGGGUGGGAAGAAGGGGGGGAGGGGAGAUGGGGGGGGGUUAGGGGAGGAUUGCACCCCCACCUUCCUCCCCCCCACCCCCCUUUUCUCUCCCCCCAACCCCAGGUAGGUGAGUUGUUUUCAGUGCUCUGCAGGGUCAGGGACCCCCCCCUCCCCGCCGGCUGCCGACCCCCAGAGCAGUACCCGUAUAUCCUGACCGGCAAGGGGGGGGGGGGGGGAGGGGAAAGGAGGGGAGGGGGGGGCACUGUAAGACCCCCAGGGUAUGAGGGGAGGGGGGGGCCCCCCACCUGACCCCCCCCACCCCACCCCUCAGUCCCACCUGGUGCUGCACCCCCCCCCAGCCUGGUGGGGGUGGGUGGAGGGGCAGCUCCUGCCUGAGGCUUCAAGUCCCUGUAUGGGGGGGAGGGGGGGAAGGGAAGACCCCCCCCCCCCCCACUCCCCCUCCCCCCGUGGGGGUGCAGUAGCGUCCCUGAGGGGUCCCAUGGGGGGUUGAGGUGGGGGGAGGGGGGGGCCUUCCUGAGAAGUGGUGGUGGGGAAAGGGCUGGGGGGCCCCCUGCCCCCCCCCCCCCCCCACUCCCUUGGUCCCUGGAGCCAGGUGGGUGGGUGGGGGGGGGGCAGCAACCACCCCGGUGCAAUUUAGGGGGGGGGGGUCCUACAGCAGAAGGGGCGCACCGGGGUGGGGAGGGCCCUCCCUUAAAGUGUCUGCGGGGGGAGGGUGAGAAGGGGGGGUGGGGGGGGGGGGGGGGGGGUGCUAAGUCCACUUUACUGGCCUUAAUGCAUGGAGACAUUCACUACGAACUAUUGCUAUUAUUAAAUAUUCCCAGCAGGUGGGGGGGGGGAUG
ensembl:lncRNA